GAACCUGCGGAAGGAUCAUUACUGAGAGGGGUUUUCGGACCCCGGGGGCUUCGGCCCCCAUCUCUUCACCCUAUGUUUACGUACCUUCGUUGCUUUGGCGGGUCUUGGGGCUCGCCCCCUACCGGCUACUGGCCUAGUGCCCCGGCCGGUCCGUGCCCGCCUGAGGCCCAUCAAAUUCUGUUCAUCAGUGACGUCCGAGCAAAAACACAAUAGUAAAAACUUUCAACAACGGAUCUCUUGGUUCUGGCAUCGAUGAAGAACGCAGCGAAAUGCGAUAAGUAAUGUGAAUUGCAGAAUUCAGUGAAUCAUCGAAUCUUUGAACGCACAUUGCGCCCCUCGGUAUUCCGGGGGGCAUGCCUGUUCGAGCGUCAUUGCACCCCUCAAGCUUAGCUUGGUAUUGGGUCUUCGCCCCCGUGGCGGGCCCGAAAGUCAGUGGCGGUUCGGCGCGACUUCGAGCGUAGUAAAUCUUCUCCCGCUUUGGAAGCUCGCGCUGCGGCCGGCCAUGAACGCCCAAAUCUUUCAAUGAUUGACCUCGGAUCAGGUAGGGAUACCCGCUGAACUUAA
rnacentral:rRNA from 1 species